AAUGAUAUGCCUGAUUAAAGGAUUAUUUUGAUAGAAUAAAUUAUGUAUGCUUAUAUACUUUCAUUA
rnacentral:tRNA from 1 species